rnacentral:rRNA from 1 species
GACGAACGCUGGCGGCGUGCUUAACACAUGCAAGUCGAACGGAAAGGCCCGGCUUUUGUUGGGUUCUCGUUUGGCGAACGGGUGAGUGACACGUGAGUAACCUGUCCCUGACUUUGUGGUAACUUUAGGGAACAGGGGCUCAUACCCGGUAGGAGCUCCUGCUGCAUGGUGGGGGUUGGUAAGUUUCGGCUGUUGGGGCUGGACUCGCAGGUUAUCAGCUUGUUUGUGGGGUAGGUGUUUACCAGGGGUUUGACGGGUAGGCCGCAUGAGAGCGUGGCCAGCGACCUUAGGACUGCGAGACGGCGCAGAAUCCUAUGGGCGGCAGUAGUGGGGAGCCUUGCACAACGGGCGCAAGUGUGAUGCAGCAGCGCUGCGUGCGUGAUGACGGCUUUCGGGUUGUAAACAGAUUUCGAAUGUAACGAAGACUGCGUGACGGUACUGGGUAAAGAAGCCCCGGCUAACUACGUG